AGAGACUGCUUUUUUUUUUUUUUUAAACAGAUUGAAGGUUUGUGGCAACCUUGAGUCAAGCAAGUCUAUCAGUGGUGCCAUUUUCCAGACAGCAAUUAUUUUUUAAUUAAGCGUCUGGUGACCAGGAAGACACCCCCUGGGACACCCAGCUCACCCCAGCACCUGCAGACGGGAUCCUGGGAAAACUGGAGAAGCUGGCGAAGGGUGAGAAUUCUACCAAAGUCAGCUCUGCUAGGUCUCCACUGCCUUGUUGAGAGGAAGAUGCUUUUAAAAGUGAGACUCACAGAAAGGACCCUACCGAGGAGUCUUGACCACUGACACCACUGCCAAAUUACAAGGUGUUGAACCUCAGGGGUAUUUCACAGCUGAAAAAGACUCUGCCGGACAUCUGGCCCUGUGCAAACGCUGGAGACCUCAAAUCAAACCGACCAGGAAGAGGAGCAGCUGACAUCAAGGAAAGUGACCUGGCCAUGACCAACCUUUCUGCCAAAUCAGGCCAGCUGACCUGUGCGUUGGCUGGAAGGACAGAGCUCACCUCCCACCAGAACCAGGGCAUUGCUCACAGAAGCAGCUGCAGAUCCAGGCCAGCUCAGCACGAGCCAGUGUGGAGGAGGAGGAGGAUGGCGGCAAAGCCUGCUGACCAGCAAGUGGGCGUUGACUCUGCCGAGG